rnacentral:misc_RNA from 1 species
UUUCCGUAGGUGAACCUGCGGAGGGAUCAUUAGUGAACGCCCUCACUGGCUUCUAACUAUUCCCAACCUCGAUUAACCUUGCCCUUCGGGGAUAUUUUACAAACAUGGUUUACUGACCCUCAUAUAUAAUAACAAAACAAAACUUUCAACAACGGAUCUCUUGGCUCUC